GCCGGAGUGGCGGAAUUGGUAGACGCAGUUGAUUCAAAAUCAACCGCUUUAGGGCGUGCCGGUUCGAUUCCGCCUUCGGCA
rnacentral:tRNA from 1 species